UUCUUUAUUAACUGUUUUACUUUCAUAUUUGUUAAUUUUUGAUUGACAAUUUGCUUGAGAUAUAGUUUGUUGCCUACGAAUGUCCCAUUCUUUAAUAACUUUUACUUUCUAGCCUAAAGGUGCUGACAGAAAACAUAAAACUGAUCGGGAGAAAAUGAUUAAGAGGACUCAGUCAGAACAAGAAAAGUUUCGACCAUCUUAUGAUUGUACGGUACUGACCGAGUCUACUGGAGAAACCCUCUACUCGUCCUCCCCACCACCUCUUACAUCCAACUUGUCUUCUACAUCUCUCUCAACUACAACUUCCAAUUCAGUUAGCAUCUCUCGGAAAAGUUCCAGUCCAGACCUAAUAAGUGCAUUCAAGCCCUUCGACCAGUA